rfam:Gorilla gorilla gorilla genomic chromosome, chr3, whole genome shotgun sequence
GCUGGGCAUGGUGGCUCACGCCUAUAAUCCCAGCACUUUGGGAGGCUGAGGCAGGUGAAUCACUUGAGUCCAGGAGUUCAAGGCUGCAGUGAGCUGUGAUCACACCACUGCACUCCAGCCUGGACAGCAGAGUGAGACCCUGUCUCUA